rnacentral:rRNA from 1 species
CCUACGGGUGGCAGCAGUCGAGAAUCAUUCACAAUGGGGGAAACCCUGAUGGUGCGACGCCGCGUGGGGGAAUGAAGGUCUUCGGAUUGUAAACCCCUGUCAUGUGGGAGCAAAUUAAAAAGAUAGUACCACAAGAGGAAGAGACGGCUAACUCUGUGCCAGCAGCCGCGGUAAUACAGAGGUCUCAAGCGUUGUUCGGAAUCACUGGGCGUAAAGGGUGCGUAGGCUGUUUUGUAAGUCAGGUGUGAAAGGCACGGGCUCAACCCGCGGACGGCGCAUGAUACUGCGGGACUAGAGUAAAGGAGAGGGAGGCGGAAUUCUCGGUGUAGCGGUGAAAUGCGUAGAGAUCGGGAGGAACACUAGUGGCGAAGGCGGGUUACUGGGCUUUAACUGACGCUGAGGCACGAAGGCAUGGGUAGCAAAAAGGAUUAGAUACCCGGGUAGUC